CUCCUGAUUGAUAAACAUUUGAGUGAGUGGCGGACGGGUGAGUAACACGUGGGUAACCUGCCCUAAAGUGGGGGAUAACAUUUGGAAACAGAUGCUAAUACCGCAUAAAACCUAACACCGCAUGGUGUAGGGUUGAAAGAUGGUUUCGGCUAUCACUUUAGGAUGGACCCGCGGUGCAUUAGUUAGUUGGUGAGGUAAAGGCUCACCAAGACCGUGAUGCAUAGCCGACCUGAGAGGGUAAUCGGCCACACUGGGACUGAGACACGGCCCAGACUCCUACGGGAGGCAGCAGUAGGGAAUCUUCCACAAUGGACGAAAGUCUGAUGGAGCAACGCCGCGUGAGUGAAGAAGGUUUUCGGAUCGUAAAACUCUGUUGUUGGAGAAGAAUGUAUCUGAUAGUAACUGAUCAGGUAGUGACGGUAUCCAACCAGAAAGCCACGGCUAACUACGUGCCAGCAGCCGCGGUAAUACGUAGGUGGCAAGCGUUGUCCGGAUUUAUUGGGCGUAAAGCGAGCGCAGGCGGUUUCUUAAGUCUGAUGUGAAAGCCUUCGGCUCAACCGAAGAAGUGCAUCGGAAACUGGGAAACUUGAGUGCAGAAGAGGACAGUGGAACUCCAUGUGUAGCGGUGAAAUGCGUAGAUAUAUGGAAGAACACCAGUGGCGAAGGCGGCUGUCUGGUCUGUAACUGACGCUGAGGCUCGAAAGCAUGGGUAGCAAACAGGAUUAGAUACCCUGGUAGUCCAUGCCGUAAACGAUGAGUGCUAGGUGUUGGAGGGUUUCCGCCCUUCAGUGCCGCAGCUAACGCAUUAAGCACUCCGCCUGGGGAGUACGACCGCAAGGUUGAAACUCAAAGGAAUUGACGGGGGCCCGCACAAGCGGUGGAGCAUGUGGUUUAAUUCGAAGCAACGCGAAGAACCUUACCAGGUCUUGACAUCCUUUGACCACUCUAGAGAUAGAGCUUUCCCUUCGGGGACAAAGUGACAGGUGGUGCAUGGUUGUCGUCAGCUCGUGUCGUGAGAUGUUGGGUUAAGUCCCGCAACGAGCGCAACCCUUAUUACUAGUUGCCAGCAUUAAGUUGGGCACUCUAGUGAGACUGCCGGUGACAAACCGGAGGAAGGUGGGGACGACGUCAAAUCAUCAUGCCCCUUAUGACCUGGGCUACACACGUGCUACAAUGGAUGGUACAACGAGUUGCGAGACCGCGAGGUUUAGCUAAUCUCUUAAAACCAUUCUCAGUUCGGAUUGUAGGCUGCAACUCGCCUACAUGAAGCCGGAAUCGCUAGUAAUCGCGGAUCAGCAUGCCGCGGUGAAUACGUUCCCGGGCCUUGUACACACCGCCCGUCACACCAUGAGAGUUUGUAACA
rnacentral:rRNA from 2 species